GCGACUGAAACGGGAUCAGCCCAGCGCAUAAUCUCGCUUCCCUUUCCAGUAAAGGGCGGCCGAGAGGUGUUGCGUUUCGGAAGGUCGUAUCAUCCGCUGCCCCAACUGCCUAAGUUCCACUUGAAUGUGACCAAUGACCAUGGAGGGUGCCAGUCCCGUAUGGCGGAAUUGCAGUCCCCGACAGGGGGCACAGGGGCGGCGGCGUGGGCCUAUCCGCAGAGUCGGGUUGCUUGAUAAUGCAGCCCUAAGAAGGUGGUAAACUCCAUCUAAGGCUAAAUAUUCCCACGAGUCCGAUAGCGAACAAGUACCAUGAGGGAAAGUUGAAAAGGACUUUGAAGAGAGAGUUCAAGAGUACGUGAAACCGUUAAGAGGUAAACGGAUGGUCCCUGUAGGCCGAACAGAGGGGAUUCAGCAGGUCGGCAGUCCGGUGGGAUGCGGGGUCUGAGAAUAAUUGAAUACCUUAAGUGACUCGUCGGGCUUCUCGGGGUAAAACCCGGAAGUUGCGGCGGGCACGCCCCGCUCUCAAUCUCGGGCGCCGGCACAGGCGUAUUUCCGCCUCCUAGUAGCUCACCGCGACUCGUUGCUCGGGGAUGUCCAUGGCCCGGUUGGAUUGGUACCCCUCGGGGGAAACCUCCGGUGAAUUUCCUGACAGCCCUGCGACGGUCAAAAAGUGGCAGAGAAGCUCGGCGUACACGAGAAGGGGCGGUCUGGCGCGGGUCUGGUGAGGAAGCUCGUCGGGCCCCCGUCGCCGGACGGACCCCGUAAGUCGUCUCGCAGCAUGCUCUUGCGGUGUUACAUGAACAGAGGACCAACCGACCCGUCUUGAAACACGGACCAAGGAGUCUAACAUGUGUGCGAGUCAUUGGGUGCACUAAACCCAGAGGCACAAUGAAAGUGAUUCAAAAUCCUACCUUGUUAUAUUUUAUAUAACAUGUGAUGGGCCGAUCCCUAGGCCGACUGCCCGCUCGCGUGUGCGGCUUUCAGCUCUUCCCGGGGCUUGGGUGAGACCCUUUCCUCAGGGCCCGGGGCCCAAAGGGCUGAUUGUCUUCCGCCACCUUGCGCUCGGCAUAGGCCCGCGCCUGCAAGACGACAGGGGGGCGCAGGCCCGGGACUUUUCCAACCGUGCUCGGCGUGGCUCCGGUAAAAAAAGCGGGCGAAAAUGGCUCUCUCUCGGGAGAGCCUUGAGUAGUCGCAGCCUGACCGACGGUCGCGACCGCAGCCUCGGGAAAGUACCCUGAGCAUACAUGCUAGUACCCGAAAGAUGGUGAACUAUGCCCGGCCAGGAUGAAGCCAGAGGAAACUCUGGUGGAGGUCCGCCGCGAUUCUGACGUGCAAAUCGAUCGUCGGAGCUGGGCAUAGGGGCGAAAGACUAAUCGAACUAUCUAGUAGCUGGUUCCCUCCGAAGUUUCCCUCAGGAUAGCUGGCACUCGGGAAACGGAGUUUCAUCCUGUAAAGCUAAUGAUUAGAGGUCUUGGGGACGAAACGUCCUCAACCUAUUCUCAAACUUUAAAUGGGUGAGAUGCCGAGCUUUCUUGAGAACGGCGGCAGCAGGCAGAAAGUCUGUCGUCCGCUUCUGAAGCUCAGGCGAUCAAUCUGAAGUGCCAAGUGGGCCAAUUUUGGUAAGCAGAACUGGCGCUGUGGGGUGAUCCAAACGUCGAGUUAAGGUGCCUAAAUGAAUGCUAUCAGAUCCCAACAAAAGGUGUUGGUUGCUACAGACAGCAGGACGGUGGCCAUGGAAGUCGGCAUCCGCUAAGGAGUGUGUAACAACUCACCUGCCGAAGCAACUAGCCCUUAAAAUGGUAUGGCGCUCAAGCAUUCUACCGAUACUCRACCGCUUGUGGUACAACCGGCCUUGCCACAGGCCUUGAAGCCCAAGCGAGUAGGAGGGCGCGGUGGUGAGCGCAGAARGGUACGGCGUGAGCCUGCCUGGAGCCGCCACUGGUGCAGAUCUUGGUGGUAGUAGCAAACAGUCGAGAAAGUUGUUUCUUAACCUCGUCGGCCGAAUGUGGGGAAGGGUUCCAUGUGAACAUCACUUGAACAUGGGUUAGUCGCCCCUAAGCCCAAGGCUAGCGCCUUAUCCAAACGUCCUUCGGUCAAAAUACACGUAUAAAAUAAAUUCAGCCCAAAGGAUGGUCAUAAGACGAUUUUAUAU
rnacentral:rRNA from 1 species